rnacentral:rRNA from 1 species
AACGAACGCUGGCGGCAUGCCUAACACAUGCAAGUCGAACGAGACCUUCUGGUCUAGUUGCGCACGGGUGCGUAACUCGUGGGAACCUGCCCUUAGGUUCGGAAUAACUCCCCGAAGGGGGUGCUAAUACCGGAUAAUGUCUUCGGACCAAAGAUUUAUCGCCUUUGGAUGGGCCCGCGUUGGAUUAGCUAGUUGGUAGGGUAAAAGCAUACCAAGGCGACGAUCCAUAGCUGGUCUGAGAGGAUGAUCAGCCACACUGGGACUGAGACACGGCCCAGACUCAUACGGGAGGCAGCAGUGGGGAAUAUUGGACAAUGGGCGAAAGCCUGAGCCAGCAAUGCCGCGUGAGUGAUGAAGGCCUUAGGGUUGUAAAGCUCUUUUACCCGGGAUGAUAAUGACAGUACCGGGAGAAUAAGCCCCGGCUAACUCCGUG